AGUACCGUGAGGGAAAGGUGAAAAGAACCCCGGGAGGGGAGUGAAAUAGAACCUGAAACCGUAUGUCUACAAGCAGUCGAAGCACCUUAAGAGUGCGACGGCGUGCCUAUUGAAGAAUGAACCGGCGAGUUACAUUAUGUUGCGAGGUUAAGUGGGAGACACGGAGCCGAAGCGAAAGCGAGUCUUAAUAGGGCGACUAGUAACAUGGUGUAGACCCGAAACCGCAGUGAUCUAUCCAUGGUCAGGUUGAAGCGCAGGUAAAAAUGCGUGGAGGACCGAACCCGUGAGUGUUGAAAAACUUUGGGAUGAACCGUGGAUAGGGGUGAAAUGCCAAUCGAACGCGGAGAUAGCUGGUACUCCCCGAAAUAGCUUUAGGGCUAGCCUCAGGGAAGAUUAUAGACGGUAGAGCACUGAUCUGGCAAGGGGGCGUAAAGCCUACCGACCCUAGUCAAACUUCGAAUGGCUAUAAUUAAGACCCUGGGAGUCAGACUGCGAGUGAUAAGACCCGUAGUCAAGAGGGAAACAGCCCAGACCGCCGACUAAGGUCCCCAAUGCUGUACUAAGUGGAAAAGGAUGUAAGACUUCAUAAACAACCAGGAUGUUGGCUUAGAAGCAGCCACCAUUAAAAGAGUGCGUAAUAGCUCACUGGUCGAGAGGCCUUGCGCCGAAGAUGUCCGGGGCUCAAGUACAGAACCGAAGUCGCGGCAGGAUUAUAUAAUUCUGGGUAGGGGAGCGUUGUAUAUCCGACUGAAGGUGUACCGGAAGGAGCGCUGGAGGAUAUACAAGAGAGAAUGCCGGUAUGAGUAGCGAAAAGAACAGUGAGAAUCUGUUCCACCGAAAGCCUAAGGUUUCCUGAGCAACGCUCGUCGACUCAGGGUAAGUCGGGACCUAAGCCGAGGCAAAAAGCAUAGGCGAUGGACAACAGGUUAAUAUUCCUGUACCGCUUCAAAUCGUUUGAGCAAUGGAGUGACACAGAAGGUAGCUUGAGCACGCGAAUGGAUGUGCGUGUCGAAGGUGGUAGGUUGCAGUAUAGGCAAAUCCGUACUGUAUAAGACCGAGAACUGAUAGAUAGACGAUACUUCGGUAAAGUCAAAUUCAAGUGAGCCAUGCUGUCGAGAAAAGCUUCUAGUGAGAGAUGAGGCGCCCGUACCGAAACCGACACAGGUAGGCGGGGAGAGAAUCCUAAGGUGCGCGGGACAACCCUCGUUAAGGAACUCGGCAAAUUGUAUCCGUAACUUAGGGAUAAGGAUAGCCGGAGGAUGUGAAGGGAUUUACUUCUGGAGCGUCAGCCGGUGGCACAAGAGAGGCCCAAGCGACUGUUUAGCACAAACACAGGUGCCUGCAAAAGAGAAAUCUGACGUAUAGGUGCUGACACCUGCCCGGUGCUGGAAGGUUAAGAGGAGGGCUUAGAGGCAACUCGAAGGCUUGAAUUGAAGCCCCAGUAAACGGCGGCCGUAACUAUAACGGUCCUAAGGUAGCGAAAUUCCUUGUCGGGUAAGUUCCGACCCGCACGAAAGGUGUAACGACUUGGGCACUGUCUCAACGAGGGACCCGGUGAAAUUGAAGUACCUGUGAAGAUGCAGGUUACCCGCGACUGGACAGAAAGACCCCAUGGAGCUUUACUGCAACCUGACAUUGAUGUUCGGUAAAUAACGUACAGGAUAGGUGGGAGACGGAGAAGUAUUGGCGUUAGCUGAUAUGGAGUCAACCUUGGGAUACCACCCUUUAUUUAUUGGACCUCUAACUGAAGAAGUAACGACUCUCAGGACAGUAUCAGGCGGGCAGUUUGACUGGGGCGGUCGCCUCCCAAAAUGUAACGGAGGCGCCCAAAGGUUCCCUCAGCGCGAACGGAAACCGCGCAAAGAGUGUAAAGGCAGAAGGGAGCUUGACUGCGAGUCAGACACGACGAGCAGGUACGAAAGUAGGGCUUAGUGAUCCGGUGGUUCCGAGUGGAAGGGCCAUCGCUCAACGGAUAAAAGCUACCCUGGGGAUAACAGGCUAAUCUCUCCCAAGAGU
rnacentral:rRNA from 1 species